UCUGGAUGACAGGGACGUAACGGUCCCCUUACUUCGGUACAUCCAAGACAGGUGGUGCAUGGUUGUCGUCAGCUCGUGUCGUGAGAUGUUGGGUUAAGUCCCGCAACGAGCGCAACCCUUAUCUUCAGUAGCCAGCAGGUAAAGCCGGGCACUCUGGAGAGACUGCCGGGGAUAACCCGGAGGAAGGUGGGGAUGACGUCAAAUCAUCAUGCCCCUUAUGAUUUGGGCUACACACGUGCUACAAUGGCGUAAACAGAGGGAAGCGAGCCCGCGAGGGGGAGCAAAUCCCAAAAAUAACGUCCCAGUUCGGAUUGUAGUCUGCAACCCGACUACAUGAAGCUGGAAUCGCUAGUAAUCGCGGAUCAGAAUGCCGCGGUGAAUACGUUCCCGGGUCUUGUACACACCGCCCGUCACACCAUGGGAGUCGGAAAUGCCCGAAGUCUGUGACCUAACCGUAAGGGAGGAGCAGCCGAAGGCAGGUCGGAUGACUGGGGUGAAGUCGUAACAAGGUAGCCGUAUCGGAAGGUGCGGUUGGAUCACCUC
rnacentral:rRNA from 1 species